UACCAACCCGAUGCAAACUGCGAAUACCGGAGAAUGUUAUCACGGGAGACACACGGCGGGUGCUAACGUCCGUCGUGAAGAGGGAAACAACCCAGACCGCCAGCUAAGGUCCCAAAGUCAUGGUUAAGUGGGAAACGAUGUGGGAAGGCCCAGACAGCCAGGAUGUUGGCUUAGAAGCAGCCAUCAUUUAAAGAAAGCGUAAUAGCUCACUGGUCGAGUCGGCCUGCGCGGAAGAUGUAACGGGGCUAAACCAUGCACCGAAGCUGCGGCAGCGACACUGUGUGUUGUUGGGUAGGGGAGCGUUCUGUAAGCCUGUGAAGGUGGCCUGUGAGGGUUGCUGGAGGUAUCAGAAGUGCGAAUGCUGACAUAAGUAACGAUAAAGCGGGUGAAAAGCCCGCUCGCCGGAAGACCAAGGGUUCCUGUCCAACGUUAAUCGGGGCAGGGUGAGUCGACCCCUAAGGCGAGGCCGAAAGGCGUAGUCGAUGGGAAACGGGUUAAUAUUCCCGUACUUGGUGUUACUGCGAAGGGGGGACGGAGAAGGCUAUGUUGGCCGGGCGACGGUUGUCCCGGUUUAAGCGUGUAGGUGUGUGUUCCAGGUAAAUCCGGUU
rnacentral:rRNA from 1 species